UGUUCGAAGCAGCUUGGGUUUCUUUGUUUGUUUGUUUGUUUUGUUCCUUGUAGUUCUGCUGUGUUAACUCAUGGAAAUUGCUCAGGGACAGAUUUAAAUCGAAACAGACAGUUUCCGUUUUUGCUCUGUAACUAGAAUGCUGUGCCAAACAGGAAAGCUGACAAGGAAGCAUCCUGCUAAGGUGUUACCUACCUUCAAGAUAUAAUCAGACUGCAAAGAAACAAAGAAAAACAGCCAUUGCUCUGGAUAGAGAAGAGUGUUUGAAAAGGGAAAGAGACCUCAAAUGUCCCCCCAGUGUUCCCUAUGCUGGUUAGCUGAAACAGUCCUCUUCAAAGAUGCUCAUUUUAUUCAUAGAAUGACUUCAGUGGAAGUUCUACAUCUAGAGUACUUGCAGGAUCAUGCCUAUACAGUAUAAAGAUCAAACUGUUAUCCUGAAUUUAUAGGCUGCAGCCAACACCUUAUCAAUGGCUGAAAUCUGAAAACAACAGAUCAAGGAGCCUCUGGGACAAACAAUAUUCUUCUUGCUCCAAAAACAAGACCCAUUUGUAA